rnacentral:rRNA from 1 species
UGGGGAAUAUUGGACAAUGGGCGCAAGCCUGAUCCAGCCAUGCCGCGUGUGUGAAGAAGGCCUUCGGGUUGUAAAGCACUUUUGUUGGGGAAGAAAUUGUACGGGUGAAUAUCCUGUGCGGAUGACGGUACCCAAAGAAUAAGCACCGGCUAACUUCGUGCCAGCAGCCGCGGUAAUACGAAGGGUGCAAGCGUUACUCGGAAUUACUGGGCGUAAAGCGUGCGUAGGCGGUUUGUUAAGUCUGUCGUGAAAGCCCUGGGCUCAACCUGGGAAUUGCGAUGGAUACUGGCAAGCUAGAGUACGGUAGAGGAUGGUGGAAUUCCCGGUGUAGCGGUGAAAUGCGUAGAGAUCGGGAGGAACACCCGUGGCGAAGGCGGCCAUCUGGACCAGUACUGACGCUGAGGCACGAAAGCGUGGGGAGCAAACAGG